rnacentral:rRNA from 1 species
CGGAGGAUGCAAGCGUUAUCCGGAUUCAUUGGGUUUAAAGGGUGCGUAGGCGGACUGAUAAGUCAGUGGUGAAAUCUCUCAGCUUAACUGAGAAACUGCCAUUGAUACUGUUAGUCUAGAGUAUAGAUGACGUUGGCGGAAUAUGACAUGUAGUGGUGAAAUACUUAGAUAUGUCAUAGAACACCGAUUGCGAAGGCAGCUAACGAAACUAUAACUGACGCUGAGGCACGAAAGUGCGGGGAUCAAACAGGAUUAGAUACCCUGGUAGUCCGCACCGUAAACGAUGAUUACUCGUUGUUGGCGAUAUGACAGUCAGCGACCAAGCGAAAGCGAUAAGUAAUCCACUGGGGAGUACGCCGGCAACGGUG